rnacentral:tRNA from 1 species
AGCAAGGUAGCUUAGUUGGGAGAGCGUCAAACUGAAGAUCUGAAUGUCAUGUGUUCGAUUCACACUCACCGCAU